GACGAAGGAUGCAAGCGUUAUCCGGAUUCAUUGGGUUUAAAGGGAGCGUAGGUGGUCUUGUAAGUCAGUGGUGAAAUCUGGCAGCUUAACUGUUAAAUUGCCAUUGAUACUGCAGGACUUGAGUACAGAUGCCGUUGGCGGAAUAUGACAUGUAGUGGUGAAAUACAUAGAGAUGUCAUAGAACACCGAUUGCGAAGGCAGCUGACGAAACUGUAACUGACACUGAGGCUCGAAAAGUGUGGGGGAUCAAACAGG
rnacentral:rRNA from 1 species